CCGGCAAACGGGUGCGGAACACGUACAGAACUUUCCUUUAAGCGGGGGAUAGCCCGGAGAAAUCCGGAUUAAUACCCCAUAGUAAUGUUGGGUGGCAUCACUUGAUAUUUAAAGAUUUAUCACUUAGAGAUGGCUGUGCGGCUGAUUAGGUAGUUGGCGGGGUAAAGGCCCACCAAGCCAUCGAUCAGUAACUGGUGUGAGAGCACGACCAGUCACACGGGCACUGAGACACGGGCCCG
rnacentral:rRNA from 1 species